rnacentral:rRNA from 1 species
CAGUAGCCGCGGUAAUACGAGGGGGGCAAGCGUCGUUCGGAAUUAUUGGGCGUAAAGGGUGCGUAGGCGGCCCCGCAAGUCUCAUGUGAAAUCUUCAGGCUCAACUUGAAGUCUGCAUGGGAAACUGCGGGGCUGGAGUAUGGGAGAGGUGAGUGGAAUUCCUGGUGUAGCGGUGAAAUGCGUAGAUAUCAGGAGGAACACCUGUGGCGAAAGCGGCUCACUGGACCAUAACUGACGCUGAGGCACGAAAGCUAGGGGAGCAAACAGGAUUAGAUACCCGUGUAGUCCCUGUCUCUUAUAC